AUUGAACGCUGGCGGCAGGCCUAAUACAUGCAAGUCGAACGGUGUCUUCGGACAUAGUGGCGCACGGGUGCGUAACACGUAUGCAACCUACCUUACAUUGGGGGAUAGCCUUUCGAAAGGGAGAUUAAUACCGCAUAAGACAGUAGCUGGGCAUCCAGCAGCUGUUAAAGAUUUAUCGAUGUAAGCUGGGCAUGCGUCCAAUUAGCUAGUUGGUGAGGUAACGGCUCACCAAGGCAAUGAUUGGUAGGGGAACUGAGAGGUCAAUCCCCCACACUGGCCCUGAGGUACGGGCCCGGCUCCUACGGGAGGCAGCAGUAGGGAAUAUUGGGCAAUGGACGCAAGUCUGACCCAGCCAUGCCGCGCGCAGGAUGAAGGCGUUAUGCGUUGUAAACUGCUUUUAUACAGGAAGAAACGACUCUUGCGAGAGGCAUUGACGGUACUGUAUGAAUAAGCACCGGCUAACUCCGUGCCAGCCGCCGCAGUAACAC
rnacentral:rRNA from 1 species